GCUAAGUGCCCAUUUCAGCUCGAACAAUGACAAUUAAAGAGGCCUGUGCAUAUGUUGGGAUUUCCCUCUUGAAUGUGAUGCAAGGGAUGGUUCGCUGCACCUUAAAACAAAAUUUGAAUAUUGGCAUCAGAUUCAAGGACAACAUCACCUGAAAGACACCCAAUGCUGUGAUUUGUUAGUGUGGAUUCCUAGUGACACUCAAAUAAUUCACAUUGACAAAGAUGUAUCAUGGUCAACCUUUUAAGUGUGAUAGAGUUUAAUUAUAAUAAUGAAGUAUUUUUGCAGUCUAAAACACACACAUAACCACAUGUACAUAUACUUUAUUAUGAUAUCAGUGGUGCAUCUAUCAAAGUUAUGUAAUUACAUGUAUAUUUAUUGAAUAAACAUUAUAGACAGAGUU